CCGCCGACGCGCCGGCCGCCUGUCCUGCUCCCGCACGGCCUCUCCUCCGCCUCUGCUGCACCCGCACGGCCUCUCCUCCGCCGUCCCUGUUCCCCCACGGCCCCACGGCCUCUCCUCCGCUUCUGCUCCUGACUAUUGGUAGCACUAGCACCUACUCUAGAAGAUGGCUGGACAUGAUGAACAUGCUCUGAUUCAAAUUGAUGCGCAGCAAAUGAACAAGAAUCCAUUGUGGAAUCAUGUUGUGCUAUUAGAGAGGGCAGGGACCGGAGGAAAUGCUAGAUGGCGUUGAAAGUAUUGCGGGGAAGAAUAUGGUGGAAGCUACUCUAGAGUAAAGAGUCACUUGCUUUGGGUUCAAGGAGGUGGAAUCAAGAUAUGUGCCAAGGUCACAAAGUCCGUCUUAUCUCAGCUGAACAGUGAGGUUGCAAAGGCUAAAGAUGAGGCAAGUAAAUCAAAGGACAGAGAUGUUCCAUUGUCCACAGGGAGCACACAAAAUAUGACAGGCAGCAGCAGCACUGGUUAUCCAGUGAAGAAGCGGUUGAGGUGUUCAGCAAUUGAGAAGGCAUUUGACAUGGACACUCGCAAUACCAUGGAUGCUUUGAUUGCAAGGCUAUUCUACUCUUGUGGAUUUUCUUUCAAUAUUGCAAGAAGUCCAUAUUAUCGGGAAGCCUUCAAAUUUCAGUUAUUUAUGACUUAGACUAUUAUGUUUGCUUGUUUGGAACUAAGUUUUAAAUUAUUUAUAAGACUGCAAGUUGCUGUAUGUUUUUAUUUCUAUUAAAAAAUUUGUAUCUGUAUCGGCG